GGCUGGGUGGCUCAGUCAGUUGAGCAUCUGACUUUGGCUCAGGUCGCGAUCUUGCGGUUCGUGGGUUCAAGCCCCACAUCAGGCU
rnacentral:tRNA from 1 species